GGAGCCAGGAAUGCGCCAGUGGGAGGGGUCUGGAGGGGGCAGCUCAGCCCUGCAGCUCAGGGAGGACCACCCAGUAGGGUCCCAGGCCUGGAGCCAGGCUUUGGCUGCUCCUUGAGUUGUGCCACGUGCUGGGCUGGGGUCUGGGCCAUCUCCUCCCUUAAGUCCAUCGUGCAGGCAUGGACCUGGGUAUUCCCCAUGGUAGGGAAAUCAAGUGUGGCUAGCUGGUUGUUGGGUGUCCCCAAAACAGCAGUCUGCUAUAGUAGAAGGAACCCAUGGUUGAGUUCAGGUCUGAUUUCAAUCCAAGCUGCUCCAAUUUCUGGUUGUGUGAAUAAGGACUCCCAGUUUCCUCAUCAGCCAAAUGCCUGUUAUUCAUCUUGCUUUGUGGAGCUGCUGGAAGGAUUUAACAAGCACACAGAUAUCAGGCCUAAGCCAGGAGCUCAAUCAGGGACCACCUGAGCUGAGCUAAGGGAUGGCACCAAACUCAUGCCCAAAAGUUCCUGGGCCUAUGAAUAUCUAGUGGCCUCAUCAGGAUGGAUCCAUAAGCUGGAGCUGGCAGGAAGAAAAUGGGAGCUUCAGGUACAGGGGUGUUACAGAACUUGGUCAGUUGUUGAGGACCAUGUAGAGUGGGAUUUGACCAAUGGGGGAAAAAUGGUCAAAAAUGAAUGUGAGCCUGCUGGCCUACAUCAUAGUAGGUUUUGGCAGGGUAACAAGCCCAGCUGGGUGGCCUGGAUACCAGUUGGGGAUAUAUAGCUACAGCUGAGUGGCCCCAGUUAAGAGGGACCAGGGUUCACUCUGGACAGAGAGACCCCGUUCUCUACCACCUUUAAGUCCUUGACAGAAGGGGCCAAACAUUCCAGGGAAGGUUGGAGGUUUUCCCCAAUGCAGUAGACGUAGGAGCAACCCCAAGAUCUGAAUGCUCAGUUUCAGAAGAGACGCUGACCCAAGACCAGACCUGCAGCUGGUGGAAGAGGCCACCUGGGCAUGUUUGUAUAGGCUGAGUUGCCACUCCUACUAGACAGAGAAUAAGAAAGAAGAGAAUCAGAAACCCUGUGCUGGUUGGGAGAGAAGGAGCUAAAGGAUACUGAAGUCUCCCAGGGCAAGCCAAAGGAGCAGAGGGAGCAGGAGGCCUGACUUGGAGAAGCAGGAAGACAGAGUGAUGGGCACCUGGCUUGACUCCUGGAGUAAAUGAUUCCCUGGUUCAGGCUCUUUCCUAAGCCUGAUACAGAGAUAGUGGGCAGGGAAUGAGGGGUGGAUGGACUGGGCUUGGAGGGCUGGAGGGGCUGGAGGUACUGCUGGCUUCUCCCUUAGGCCCUGCCCUUUAGCUUCCCAAUAAAAAUGUGUCCUUUACAACAAGUAGUCAUGGGCUUACACUCAAGUUCAGAACCAGCACCUGUAUAGACACACUCUUUUAAGACUCUUCUAGUCCCAAGUCCCAACCCCUUUGGGAUGGAAGGCACCCUGGUGGGAGUAUGGGGGCUGAUAUCCAUCAUUCCAAGUCAGGGGAAAGGAAGACCCAGGCCUAGCACAGGGAUCCCACUGGGCCUGGAACAAGUCUCCUAAGAAAUCCUGCUGUCUUUGGACCUACAGAGCCUCCAAGCUAUCAGAACUUAGGAGGCAACAGCCUUUCAUGCUACGCUUAAGAGUAGAGCCAGCUUUGUCUCCAGCUCAGCCUCCCUGUAAGCUGGGACUGGGAUCUGUAGACAUCUGGUGGCUUCUGGUGUAGGUGGAAGUAAGUUCCUGGGGGACAGCCCUGAUCAGACAGCAGCAGGGUAGGCUUGGAGCCCAGAAGACUAUUGCAUUACCAGGUCUCCAGGGAGGAGGCUGCUGGCUACAGAACGCUUCCCUGGAAUUGCCUUCCGAACAUAUUCUCCUCUGCCUUCUAGGGCUGCCCUGGCAGAUGAUGUGAUAGAGUUGGGGAAAGCUUUCCCCUCAACCCCCAAGGUAGGCCUGGCUCAUUGCUCUUCAUGGAUGCAGCCACCUGUCCCAGUCCCUGACGGUGGGGCCUUUCAUAUCCUCCACUUCUAUGGUCCUCAGGCCAUCUUUAGCAAUAAAGAGGCUCUCUGCCUUGUCUCCCUUCCCCCCACCUGCAACUCCUCUGGUUGUUACAUCAGCUUCAGCAACUUAGAAUGACAGCCCCUGGCUUCAAGCCACAGGUUGAGAAGAAAGGAUAGAGGAGAUUGACAAUCCCAGGGAACUGACAACUAAUCACAACCUAGGAACUAUACUGUCCCUUCCAGAUGCUUGCAAACCACUUGUUCUAGUCUUGUGCGUUUAUUGAACGCCUACUAUGCCUGGCGGGGCUCCAACCAGGCACAGAAAGCAGAUGGCUCCCUGGAGAGGACUUAGCACGCUGGGCCUACCCCCAAUGGAGAUUGGUCACGCCAAGCCGAGUACACGUUCUGACGCCCCGCACCCUGUAUGUCAGGUUCUGGCCCUGUGCGCCCAGGCUCCGGCCCGUCCCGCUCUCAACAAGGCCUGCUCUGCGCGCCAAGCGAAACGCUGAGAAGCAGCAUUGACUGGAUGGAGACUGGACAGGGAGCGGGGAGGGAAAUGACCCGUAGCCCCCUCCGCUCAGGCUUUCUAAGGGUCCAGAAAGACAGGGUGUGGAGAAGGGGUUUCUGCGACCUGGAGGGAGGAGACAGCCGGUUCGCUUUGACCUUGGUGGGGGGUGGGUGGGCUCAGGGCAUCCACGGCUCCCUCCCACUCCCGAUGCCCAGCCCGCCGCCGCCGCUGAGCAUGCCAGCAUAGGAAGGCAGCGAUCAGGAGCCCGGGGCCCACGCCGAGAGCAGCCAACGAUGCGCCCUGGGCCAGGUCCAGGCGGGGUCCACGCAGCGAGAAGGUGAUGGUCGUGGCGGCUACACCGGCCAGCACCGCUACUGCGCCAAAGGGCAGGACGCAACGCGGCCACGAGACCCCGGCGCCGCCAGUGGCCAAGAGUAGCGCGCGCAGGGCCCCGGGCAUCUCCGGAUGUGCAAGGCCCAGGGGGGUGGGAUCCGGCUCAGGCGCGCUCAUGUCGCUCACGCUGUGGUCACACUGGUGGGUAGUGCCGGCACUCCUCGGAGGGUGGCUCGUGUCCCGGCCCGCCAUGUCAGAGCCGAUUGGGCUGGGAUGCGGUGACGCCACCAGGGAAACCGGGGGGCGGAUACUGGAGCUGGAACCCAGGGGUGCUUUACUGCUGAGCUACUUCCCAGUCCUUCUGUUUUUGAGAGAGGGUCUCACUAAGUUGCCAAGGCUGGCCUCAUAUUUGUGAUCUUCCUGCCUCUGUCUCCCAAGGCCAUGGGAUUACAUGUGUGCAUCACCUUGCCCAGCUUCACUUGGUACUACAUUCUCUUUUUUCUUUUUUUGGUACAAGGGAUUGAACCCAGGAGCACUUAACCACUGAGCCACAUCCCCAACUCUUAUUUUUGAGACAGGGUCUCACUAAGUUGCUUAGGGCCUUGCUAAAUUGCUGUGGCUGGCUUCGAACUUGUGAUUCUCCUGCCUCAGCCUCCCCAGCCGCUGGGGUUGUAAAUGUGCUCCAUCACACCUGGGUUUGAUAACAUUCAUAUUAAUAAAACCACAAACAAACAAACAAAAACAAAAGACACCCCCAGCAAGUCCCACCUUGGAUUAAGUAUAUGAACUUCCUAAAGUAGGUUUAAUAUCACAUAGGAGAUGCUUAGAGCUACAGCAAGAGAAAAAAGCUAGCUAAGAAAGGCUCUACCAGGCCCCUGGCAACUUCUGAUUUCCUGACAAGGCAUAGGUAUCUCUGGUCCCGCAGAUCCACCAAACCAGGAAAAUUAUCUUCAAUCCCUGUUCAUUUCACCCCUUCAGGAGAAGAAGACUCCCUAAGAGGCCUGCAUGCUCAAGGGUCCUGAGGCCUUGGUGGGGCUCCAGAUGGCCCAGCGAUUGAGUCAGUAAGCAGGGUCAUCUUGCAGGAUGGUGAGGAAGCACUCGCCUCCCUCGCAGAGCAGGCUAUGUACAGCUCGGCACAUCGCCAGCCAAGAUGGCCCCUGUGGCUCCUGAGUAUUCACCAGGGGAAGGAGCUCAGCCAUUAGGACCUGGGGGCAGUGCAAGGCCAAGGUCUCAGUGGGGCCUUGCCCCAGCUGGCAGCCCCAGGACAGGCUUCAGCAUUCUAGCCUCUCUCCCUGUGCAGCUCAUUCGGCACAUCAAUGUACCUGGUGGUCUACACAUGGGCCUGAGGCUUACCCCCACCCCACCCCACCCCUGUCCUCCAAGGGGAUCUUGGAAAAGGAACAUCAUACCCUAAUCCCAGGCCUCUGUUCUUAUAAACUGAGCCUUCAGGUGGCUCCAGAGUCAGCCCUCCAUAUGGUAACUGGCUCCACAGGUGCCCAAUUGCACACUGCCAACUCAUGCUCUGAAAGUACCUUUUCCAGGUGAAUCUGCUGCUCCAGCAUGGCCACCCGCAGCUUCAAGGUUGCCAGGGUCUGCAGCUCCUCGGUACUGGAGUAAAGGAGGAGCUGGGGGCUCCAGGCAGGGUCCACUCCACCUCCACAGGGUGAUGAAGCCUGGGGGAGCCUCUCCACAAGACAUGGUUCUGGCAGCUGUUCCCUCACAGCUGCGAGGACAGGAGAUAUGUGGUCUCUUGGUAUGGCACCCAUGCCCAAGGGCCAGGGUUCACUCAAGGGUCAGUACCUGACUCCCCAGGCACUUCCCUUGCCUUUAAGGAGUGCAAAACAACAGUGUGUGGCAGAGCAUGGGGGUGGCCUGGGAUUCACAGCAGCCAGAGACCUUUGUGAAGUCUCCUUUUGCCUCUGGGUUUUCCUUACUGGUGUUUACAUAACUUUCUUGAGACUGACUUUGUAUUUGAAGAUAGAACUUUCCCUCUUAAAGAUUUCAAUCAAUUAAAAAAUGUAAAGGAUAAAGAAGCCCCAUGACUCACCUCCCAGUAUCUCAAAUGCUUCUUUCUCAGUAACUGAGUAAAUGAGCAAACUGCUUAGGCUGAUAGGUUGUUGGUGGAGAGGAGUAGGAUAGAGGACCUGUUCUGAGCAGUUGAGGACAGCUGGCUGGUCCCACAGGACAACUGGUCAGAACCCAGAACACUGUGUGUGGGUGGAAAGGGCCUACCUGUCUCUGGUGCCAGGACUGGUCAUCCUUCCUUAAGGCAUGGGCAAGAUGGGCUAAUGUGCCCUGACCCUGCUUAAGACCUCAGCACAGGUGGCAGCAGGGGGCAGGGUCUCACCUGUACGCAGCACCUGCAGCCUCUGAAGAUACUGCCCAACGAUGGCUUGCAGCCCCUCCAGAGUGAGCAGACAGCGGUACUCCUGCAUCCAGUCAGCAGGGGCUACUCAACAGUCAGGGAGGGCAGGCUUGGUCCAUGCCAGUUCUGAGACCCUUCCUGUGACUGCCCUCCACACACCCUCUACAACCCCACUGACCUGAGGAGAGCUCCUCCUGCAGGCGUAGUCUCACCAUCACACAGGCCUUCCGCAAGCGCUGAGCCUCCAGCUCUAUUUCCACAGCACUGAGCCUGGGGCCAGGCCAGCCUGACUGACUAUGGGUCAGGGAAACUCCCCUAUGUCCAGGCCCCACCCAUGUCCUGCCAGGUUAGAGUCAGAAGCACCCCCCUCACCUUCACUCCUGCAAGUCCAGUAAGCACCCCCUCACCUCCACUCCUGCAAGUCCAGCAAGGAUACAGUUGCCUGCAGUUUCUGCAGAAACUGGGCUUUGGCAAUGCUAGUGGCAUCUGUGGAGUUGCUGGUUUGUGUAGAGUUGAGCUGGGCCCAUAGGCUGAGAUGUGCAUAAGAGCACCCAGGAACCAGAGAAGGAUGCCAUUAUUCCAGCCAGCUGGGCUGAACUGCCCAAGGAGGGGCCAGAGGCUGGGUGUCUAUUUCUGCUGAAAAUCAGCAGGAGUCUCUGGGGGAACCUAGAGGACACUGACCAGGACAAGGAAAGAGCUGACCCACUCUAGGAAGUGCUAAAGAGAAUUCAAGGAAGGAGAGAGAAACCAGCAGUGACUGGUAACUAUAACUGAAAAGAGACCUAGGUGCUUACUCUGUACUAAUUACAGCACAAACAUCUGAAAGGCACCAUUUGCCUAACCCUCCCAGCAUCUCUGUGAGUUUAGGUCUGGUCACUGUUGCCUCUAGCUCUAAACUUGGUGGAGGGAAGACAGACUGAGACUUGGAGACACCAAGUGUCAAGUUCAAGCCUUGCAGCUGUGAGUGGCUGAGCUGAGGGUAUCAAAGCCACUGAGCCUGAGACCACUGCAGCAGUGCUAGCUAGUCAGGCUCUGAAGAUGGACAGUGCCACCCAGUUACAAAAGCAGAGGGACCUACUGGAAUGUCUUGCCUACAUAUUCCCAAGCUUUUGAUGUUUUCUGCCCCACCCAGCCUUACCGGGAGUUCUGGGAAACCACCUUCCUAAAGUUCGCGGGCAGCUGCAGCAGGGUCCUGUCAGAGAAGCCAGUGUUCAAAAUAGUCUCAUCUCACUUUCAGGGCUGCUAGUCCUGCUCAGAGUCUAUCAGUGGUGAGGUCUCUUACCCCUUCUCCCUCUCCAGUCAUUAUCAGACAAGACCCCCUUGGAAGGGGCUUCCUGAGUGACAUGGAAGCCAACCUAGUCCAGUACUACCCUUGCAGAGAGAAGAGAGGGCACCGUGAACAGAGGGCCUGAGACCUCUAGUGGUUCCCAUCUGGUUAGAUAAGUGAAUAGCCAGGAAGAAGAGGGCAGGUAAGGCUCCAGAAUGUAAAACCUGUACAAUCCCAGACAGCUGCAAAGCAUGAGCCUCAUGAGGUGGUACUCCAGGGCUCCCAAAUGUAGCUCUGUGCCCUGCCCUACACCAAACCCCAGACUCCUACAGAUGGCCAAGGUCUGAGCGAAUAAAAAUGGCAGAUUUUCCAGUGAGGGUCUGGGAAACCUACCCCUUCUCCUUGAGUGUGAAAGUUUCUGCUGCCUGAGGAACAGCUGAUUGGGCCAUCUGUUCAUGUCUGAGGCCUGGUCCACAGCUAGUGGCCCUGGCUUCUAUU